AUAAAACCCUGCCUUACUCACCCUUUAAAUCAUCUGCGAGCCUGAAUUUUCAUGGCCGUGGGACGGACAAGAACUUUAUCUUCAGCUGAACUAAGAAAAAGUCCUGCAACAUUUUUGGCGCGCAAUGUGGGGGCACCAGAAGCGGGCACCGUUGAGCUGUUGCAACUGUUCUGCUGGAGCCUUAUGUAUGUGGUUGAAACCACCUGUACUACUGGAAUGAAAGCACCUUUACAGAAGAGGCAAUGCAAGUUGUAUUCAUCACAUGUGUAGAAUGAAUUAAGAUUUAUGCCAGUUGCAAAGAAGAAUAUUGGCUCACUAUUUUUCCUCUGGGCAUGUGGAAAUGUAAAUCAGUCCAUGUUACUCACCUCGGAGAAGCAGAAGUACGAUUUACUAUUGUUGCUUGCUUACUUACUCUUAUCAAUUUCUAUGAGAGGUAUGAUUUUCUAUGACUUUUCAUUUUUCAAAAUCUUGAAUUUCUAUUAUAGAUUCAUGUUUAUAUAUGUGUUAUAUUUGUUUGUGCAAUAACCUCAUGAUAAUUAUUUUUCUACUGGUUUCAUGUUCCUGAAUGACAUACUAGUAGUAACAAUACCUCAAGCUAUAAAGUAUAUUUUUAAAUAUAUAUGAUUGUGAUUUUUUGAAUUUUUUUUCUUUUAAUAAUUGGAUUCUGUUACCCUAAAAAGAAUCUAGUUUUCAGGCAAGCUUUUAUUUAAUCUCUUUUGGCUUUAUAGACAGGAAUAUAUUUCUGCUUCCAUUUUCCAAAGUGUUUGCUUGUGAAACAUAGGAUUUGGAAAAUCUGAGUACAAAAUUAUCAGGAAGAAGUAAAAAUCUCUGAUAAUAUAUCACUUAAUCAUGAUUUCUACAUGAAUUAAUGCUGAUCCUAGGCUUCAAGAAAACAAAGAUUUUUGUCAGGUUUUAAAAUAAUACAUUGGUGGUGUCAUAAACAA
ensembl:lncRNA MIR924HG MIR924 host gene